rnacentral:lncRNA from 1 species
ACCCUUUCAAUUUCAUUCCCCGCCACACUCUCUUUCUCUUGCGAUUUCCCCUCCCCUCUUCAACGGCCACGAGCGGCGCUGCCGACUUUCCAGAGCUCCGGCAAUACAAUCCCCAGACCGCACCUCCGUCGUUCCUAGUCAGCCGCCGCCGCCCAUAUAUCGAGCAACCGCACCUUCGUGGUUUCGCACACGACUGUUUUGCCUCUCGUCUUCUUCUGCCCUUCAACAAACCAACUCUUUCUCUCUCUACGUUUUCCUAGUCAAAUCCAUUUUUCCCUCUCAAAAUUGUAUUUAGAAGCUGAAGAUUCUUAGGGGUCGUUUACUAGAAGAAAUGGUGGAUUUUGGGGAAGAGUUUAUAAUAGAGAGCUAUAAAAUCCCAUGGCUAAUUUAGAUCCAACUUCUUGUUUUCUGCCUCUUUUUUUGCUUCUUCGCCUUCACGGUUGGUUGGUUUUGUUUUCCUGCCCAUUAAUCUGGUUUUGGAUGAUUAUUUAUUGUUCUUUAUUAGACAUUUCAUUUUAGGGGAAAUAACAUCGAAAUGGGGCUGAUUAAUUUUCGGCAACAAUUCUGUAAUCGUAGAUCCAAAGUGUUCUCUCCUCAAUUCUGUACCCAAUUUCAUUGUUUUACUCAAUUCUGUGCUUAUUUUGUG